rnacentral:lncRNA from 1 species
GGAGGAGGUCGGUCCAGCUCCGUCCCCUGCCGACCUCCCGGAGGAGGUCGGUCCAGCUCUGUUUCCUGCCGACCUCCCGGAAGAGGUCGGUCCAGCUCUGUUUCCUGCCGCCCUCCCGGAGGAGGUGAUCGGCCCGCGCCUGGUUCCUGUGUUUUUUGAGCCAAUGUGUGCAGAUGCUGCUCCUGGUGGUCCGGUCCCGGCCACGCUAGUCUCUGCUCCUGGGGGUCUGGUCCCGGCCACGCUCGUCUCUGCUCCUGGUGGUCCGGUCCCGGCCACGCUCGCCUCUGCCCCCGGUGGUCCGGUCCCGGCCACGCUCGUCUUGGCUCCUGGUGGUCCGGUCCCGGACACGUUCGUCUCAGCUCCUGAUGGUCCGGUCCCGGACACGUUCGCCUCAGCUCCUGGUGGUCCGGUCCCGGCCUCGCUCGUCUCAGCUCCUGGUGGUCCGGUCCCGGACACGUUCACCUCAGCUCCUGGUGGUCCGGUCCCGACCACGUCUGUCUCCGCUCCUGGAGGCCCGGUGCCGACCACGUCUGCAUCGGUUCCGGGUAGUCCGGCUCCGGCCUCGUCUCCACGUCUGUCCUCGGUUCCUGGUGGCCCGGUCCCGGACACGUUCGUCUCAGCUCCUGGUGGCCCGGUCCCGGACACGUUCGUCUCUGCUCAUGGUGGUCCGGUCCCGGCCACGUCUGUCUCCAUUCCUGGAGGCCUGGUUCCGGCCUCGUCUCCACGUCUGUCUUCGCCUCUGGUUCCGGCCUCGUCUCCACGUCUGUCUUCGCCAUUGGUUCCUGCCUCGUCUCCACGUCUGUCUUCGCCUCUGGUUCCUGCGUUGUCUCCACGUCUGACUUCGCCUCUGGUUCCUGCCUCGUCUCCACGUCUGUCUUCGCCUCUGGUUCCUGCCUCGUCUCCACGUCUGGCUUCGCCUCUGGUUCCUGCCUCGUCUCCACGUCUGUUUUCGCCUCUGGUUCCUGCCUCGUCUCCACGUCUGUUUUCGCCUCUGAUUCCUGCCUCGUCUUUGUCUCGGCUGCCGGACUGGUGGCCUUGCCCUCGGCGCCUCCUGCUGCCUGGAUGGCGCUGCCUCCUGCGGCGCCGUCCGCCUCGACCCCUCAGUCUUCAGGAUCGGCGUCCGCCUGGAGGACAUCGCCGUUCGGGGUGGUCCCCGUGGACACUGGCCCAGCUCAAGGGCACUAGGCGUGCCAUCCUGCCUCAGCGGCGGCUGAGCAGGAUCUCGCAUCGCAUCCACCCUCCUUGAGGAGGUUCUGGACUUUGUAUUUCCCGUCAUGGACUCAUUAUUCAUGGACUCUAUUCUGCCCCUGCAAUUCAUCCUGUGUAUUUUUGAUUCUCUU